rnacentral:lncRNA from 1 species
UUGUUUCUUCUUUCUUGUCUAAAAGCUCUCAACUCCUCAUCAAUAUCUGAACCAUCUUCUGAAGGUAUAUCUAGAUCUGAAUCACUACUCAAGAAAUCAGAUUCACCUUCUCCACCUAGGUUAUCAUCCACACCCUCUCUACCUAGGUUAUCAUCCACACCCUAUUCACCAAUGUUAACACCAACACCCUCACCACCAAGGUUAACAGCCUCACCUUCUCCACUUAGGUCAACAUCCUCACCUUCUCCACCUAAGUUAACAGCCUCACCCUCUUCACCAAGGUCAACAUCAACACCUUCACCACCAACAUUAGUUAGAUAGCCUCUAGGUCCCUCAGUGUCAAGUAAGCGUUCAUCUAAUACAUGACAGACAAAUACUUCAAAAGUGUCCUCAUGUUUUAAGUCUUUAAUUAGGUGUAGGAGAUGUUGGUCAGUUGUAAUUAGGACCCAUUUUUUAUUCAAUAAAUCCUUCACAUAAAAGCCUCCAACAGUUUCAUACCCUAAUUCUUUAGUAUAAUACAGUAGUUCCAAAAUGGAAAAGUGGUCCUUAAUAAUAUACCUGAGUGCAG